UAACCUAAAGGCGAUGGACUUGAAAUCCAUUGGGGUAACCCGCGUGGGUUCAAAUCCCAC
rnacentral:tRNA from 1 species